rnacentral:lncRNA from 1 species
GCAGUUGGCAAGCAGGACACCCAGAAGAGCUGGUGCUCUAAGUUCCAAUUUGAGAGCAGGAGAAGACCCAUGGCCCACCUCAAAUACUCAGCAAUUGAGUGGUUAGAAAAGUGCUGGCCACUACCCCCACGGCUUCCACUUCCUGGCGGCCUCUCCCUGAGGACACUGGUGAGCAGUGAGGAGGAUGUGGAGUCCAGAGCUGCCAGCACAGGGGUUUCAGCAGAGAAAUAGUGGCUACUCCUAUUCAAAAAUGGAAAGCAAGAGCAUAGAUAAUGAGAAUGCUCCUCACAGCCUGCCUGCUCCUC